CCAUCCUGCUGUGGGGGCAACUCCAACUCUGCGAGCUGACAUUCCUGCCAGUCUGACAGACUGACUUAAGAUGAGGGACUUGCGCCUUCUCGCCAUGACGACAUCCAUCAUCACAGCCAUCUUUAGUGGUGUACAGAGACAUCAGUGAUAAGCUGAGGUUCCAUUGGACUCCAACUCUCAACACAAUUUACGAGUCUGUGGAACUGGGUUCACCAGAAGAAUCGUCAGCUCUCAAGGAAGACGAUUAUCAGCUUGGUGAUAUGGU